AUUGAACGCUGGCGGCAUGCUUUACACAUGCAAGUCGAGCGGCAGCGCGGGGGCAACCCUGGCGGCGAGCGGCGGACGGGUGAGUAAUGCAUCGGAACGUAUCCCGUAGUGGGGGACAACCCAGCGAAAGCUGGGCUAAUACCGCAUAUGCUCUACGGAGGAAAGUGGGGGACCCGCAAGGGCCUCACGCUAUGGGAGCGGCCGAUGUCCGAUUAGCUAGUUGGUGGGGUAAAGGCCCACCAAGGCGACGAUCGGUAGCUGGUCUGAGAGGAUGAUCAGCCACACUGGGACUGAGACACGGCCCAGACUCCUACGGGAGGCAGCAGUGGGGAAUUUUGGACAAUGGGGGCAACCCUGAUCCAGCCAUGCCGCGUGCGGGAAGAAGGCC
rnacentral:rRNA from 1 species